GGGCUAAUGGUCUAGUGGUAUGAUUUUCCGUUCGCAUCGGAAAGGUCCCGCGUUCAAUCCGCGGUUAGUCCA
rnacentral:tRNA from 3 species